GCAGGGGACUCAUCAAUAAUGGUGCGUUCAUAUCGAAAGAUAUGAAAUGAACGGGAUGAAUUCAGGGAAACCUUAGCUGCGCAUGCUCGUGGUGCGGUUGGCAACCCUGAGCCAAGCUAGCGGUACACCGCUGGAAGGUGCAGAGACUACCUGGGGACUUGAGUGUUCUUAAUAACAGGCUAGAGCGUCCCGCACCCUAGUUGUCAUAUUCUGGUAACGGGUGAUGAGAUAGUCCGCUCCUGUUAGAAAUAGCAGG
rnacentral:ncRNA from 1 species